rnacentral:rRNA from 1 species
GGAGCUUGCUUUAUAUAACUUAGCAGCGAACGGGUGAGUAACACGUAGAUAAUCUAUCCUAUACUGGGGGAUAGCCCGAUGAAAGUUGGAUUAAUACCGCAUAUAGCUAUAUAGUUGCAUGAUUAUGUAGUGAAAGAUUUAUUGGUAUAGGAGGAGUCUGCGGCACAUUAGCUAGUAGGUGAGGUAAAGGCUUACCUAGGCGACGAUGUGUAGCCGGUCUGAGAGGAUGAACGGCCACAAUGGAACUGAGACACGGUCCAUACUCCUACGGGAGGCGACAGUGGGGAAUAUUGCACAAUGGGGGAAACCCUGAUGCAGCAACGCCGCGUGAGUGAAGAAGGUUUUCGGAUUGUAAAGCUCUGUUAGCAGGGAAGAGGAAGGACGGUACCUGCAGAGGAAGCCACGGCUAACUACGUGCCAGCAGCCGCGGUAAUACGUAGGUGGCAAGCGUUGUUCGGAAUAACUGGGCGUAAAGGAUGCGUAGGCGGUUAAACAAGUUAUAUGUUAAAUAUAUAGGCUUAACCUGUAGAAAGCAUAUAAAACUGUUUAACUAGAGUGCAGGAGAGGUAAGUGGAAUUCCUAGUGUAGCGGUGAAAUGCGUAGAGAUUAGGAAGAACACCAGUGGCGAAGGCGACUUACUGGACUGUAACUGACGCUGAGGCAUGAGAGCAUGGGGAGCAAACAGGAUUAGAUACCCUGGUAGUCCAUGCUGUAAACG